GAUGAACGCUGGCGGCGUGCUUAACACAUGCAAGUCGAACGAGAAGUGAAGACGGAAACCUUCGGGCGGAAGGCUUUAUUUCGAGUGGCGGACGGGUGAGUAACGCGUGGGUAACCUGCCUCAUACAGGGGGAUAACAGUUGGAAACGACUGUUAAUACCGCAUAAGACCACAGCACCGCAUGGUGCGGGGGUAAAAACUCCGGUGGUAUGAGAUGGACCCGCGUUCGAUUAGCCAGUUGGCGGGGUAACGGCCCACCAAAGCGACGAUCGAUAGCCGAUCUGAGAGGAUGACCGGCCACAUUGGGACUGAGACACGGCCCAGACUCCUACGGGAGGCAGCAGUGGGGAAUAUUGCACAAUGGGGGAAACCCUGAUGCAGCGACGCCGCGUGAGUGAAGAAGUAUUUCGGUAUGUAAAGCUCUAUCAGCAGGGAAGAAAAUGACGGUACCUGAGUAAGAAGCCCCGGCUAACUACGUG
rnacentral:rRNA from 1 species